AUACAUGCAAGUCGAACGCUUCUUUUUCCACCGGAGCUUGCUCCACCGGAAAAAGAGGAGUGGCGAACGGGUGAGUAACACGUGGGUAACCUGCCCAUCAGAAGGGGAUAACACUUGGAAACAGGUGCUAAUACCGUAUAACAAUCAAAACCGCAUGGUUUUGAUUUGAAAGGCGCUUUCGGGUGUCGCUGAUGGAUGGACCCGCGGUGCAUUAGCUAGUUGGUGAGGUAACGGCUCACCAAGGCCACGAUGCAUAGCCGACCUGAGAGGGUGAUCGGCCACAUUGGGACUGAGACACGGCCCAAACUCCUACGGGAGGCAGCAGUAGGGAAUCUUCGGCAAUGGACGAAAGUCUGACCGAGCAACGCCGCGUGAGUGAAGAAGGUUUUCGGAUCGUAAAACUCUGUUGUUAGAGAAGAACAAGGAUGAGAGUAACUGUUCAUCCCUUGACGGUAUCUAACCAGAAAGCCACGGCUAACUACGUGCCAGCAGCC
rnacentral:rRNA from 1 species